AGUGAACGCUGGCGGUAUGCCUAACACAUGCAAGUCGAACGGCAGCACAGUAAGAGCUUGCUCUUACGGGUGGCGAGUGGCGGACGGGUGAGGAAUACAUCGGAAUCUACUUUUUCGUGGGGGAUAACGUGGGGAAACUUACGCUAAUACCGCAUACGACCUACGGGUGAAAGCAGUGGAUCUUCGCACCUUGCGCGAUUGAAUUAGCCGAUGUCGGAUUAGCUAGUUGGCGGGGUAAAGGCCCACCAAGGCGACGAUCCGUAGCUGACCUGAGAGGAUGAUCAGCCACACUGGAACUGAGACACGGUCCAGACUCCUACGGGAGGCAGCAGUGGGGAAUAUUGGACAAUGGGCGCAAGCCUGAUCCAGCCAUACCGCGUGGGUGAAGAAGGCCUUCGGGUUGUAAAGCCCUUUUGUUGGGAAAGAAAAGCAGCAGGUGAAUACCCCGAUGUUCUGACGGUACCCAAAGAAUAAGCACCGGCUAACUUCGUG
rnacentral:rRNA from 1 species